rnacentral:rRNA from 1 species
CCCUUAGAUGUUCUGGGCCGCACGCGUGCUACACUGAACGGUUCAAUGGGUGAGGUAGUGCGAAAGCAUGACCCAAUCUCAAAAUCCGUUCGUGCUGGGGAUAGAAGCUUGCAAUUCUCCUUCUUGAACGAGGAAUACCUUGUAAGCGCGAGUCAUCAUCUCGCGCUGAAUACGUCCCUGCCCUUUGUACACACCGCCCGUCGCUCCUACCGAUUGAGUGGUCCGGUGAGACUUCGGGAGAGCUAAAUGGAUUGUGUUUCACAAACUAUUUGGCUUGAACUUAGUCAAACCUUACUACUUAGAGGAAGGAGAAGUCGUAACA